rnacentral:rRNA from 1 species
UACGGAGGGUGCGAGCGUUGUCCGGAAUCACUGGGCGUAAAGGGCGCGUAGGCGGCAUGCCAAGCGUGUGGUGAAAGCCCGGGGCUCAACCCCCGGGUCGGCCGUGCGGGACUGGCGUGCUCGAGCACUGUAGGGGCGGGUGGAAUUCCGGGUGUAGCGGUGGAAUGCGUAGGAGAUCCGGAAGAACACCGGUGGCGAAGGCGGCCCGCUGGG